rnacentral:misc_RNA from 1 species
GAUGAAGAACGCAGUGAAAUGCGAUACUUGGUGUGAAUUGCAGAAUCCCGUGAACCAUCGAGUCUUUGAACGCAAGUUGCGCCCGAAGCCAUCAGGUUGAGGGCACGUCUGCCUGGGCGUCACAUAUCGUUGCCCAAUGCCUAUUGCAGUGCAAUAGGAAUUUCUAGGGCGAAUGAUGGCUUCCCGUGAGCGUUGUUGCCUCGCGGUUGGUUGAAAAUCGAGUCCUUGGUAGGGUGUGCCAUGGUAGAUGGUGGUCGAGUUAGAACGAUACCGAUCAUGUGCAUGCUCCCCAAAAUAUGGCCUCUAUGACCCACACGCGUCUUUUGACGCUCAUGACGAGACCUCAGGUCAGGCGGGGCUACCAGCUGAAUUUAAGCAUAUCAAUAAGCGGAGGA